rnacentral:tmRNA from 1 species
GGGGGCGUUUUGGCUUCGACGGGGGUAGGAUGGGUUUGUUAAGCGAGUCGAGGGAAGCAUGUGUCCUCGUUAAUCAAGUAUGCAAUAAAUGUAAACGCAGAAGACAAUUUUGCAUUAGCAGCUUAAUAUAAGCUACUCAUCAGCCCGAGUUGCCUACGGCUUGGAUAACUGGUGUCAUUAAGUAGGAAACGAAGUUUAGCAAAGCUUUGAGCUAAAGGGGUAUUUAUGAAGCUACCAAAAGAUGGAGCCUGUCUAUAGGCGCUAUCUCGAGGGAAUUUUAAAUUAUAGACUGCACUCGGAGAAAUUCAGAUUCAGCUAUUUUCGGACAGGGGUUCGAUACCCCUCGCCUCCACCA